rnacentral:hammerhead_ribozyme from 1 species
AUCUGACUAAAGAGUCUCAAACAAGACGAAAUGCGUAUUUUGGAU